rnacentral:rRNA from 1 species
ACGCUGGCGGCACGCCUAACACAUGCAAGUCGAACGAAGUAGCAAUACUUAGUGGCAGACGGGUGAGUAACAUGUAGGUAUCUGCCCUUUGGCCUGGAAUAACACGAGGAAACUUGUGCUAAUACCGGAUAAGUCUUUACGGAGAAAGCUUUAUGCACCAUUGGAUGAGCCUGCACUUGAUUAGUUUGUUGGUGGGGUAAUGGCCUACCAAGACUGUGAUCAAUAGCUGAUUUGAGAGGAUGAUCAGCCACAUUGGGACUGAGACACGGCCCAAACUCCUACGGGAGGCAGCAGUGGGGAAUCUUGCACAAUGGAGGAAACUCUGAUGCAGCGAUGCCGCGUGAGUGAAGAAGGCCUUUGGGUUGUAAAGCUCUUUCGUCGGGGAAGAAAAUGACUGUACCCGAAUAAGAAGGUCCGGCUAACUUCGUGCCAGCAGCCGCGGUAAUACGAAGGGACCUAGCGUAGUUCGGAAUUACUGGGCUUAAAGAGUUCGUAGGUGGUUGAAAAAGUUAGUGGUGAAAUCCCAGAGCUUAACUCUGGAACAGCCAUUAAAACUUUUCAGCUAGAGUAUGAUAGAGGAAAGCAGAAUUUCUAGUGUAGAGGUGAAAUUCGUAGAUAUUAGAAAGAAUACCAAUUGCGAAGGCAGCUUUCUGGAUCAUUACUGACACUGAGGAACGAAAGCAUGGGUAGCGAAGAGGAUUAGAUACCCUCGUAGUCCAUGCCGUAAACGAUGUGUGUUAGACGUUGGAAAUUUAUUUUCAGUGUCGCAGGGAAACCGAUAAACACACCGCCUGGGGAGUACGACCGCAAGGUUAAAACUCAAAUGAAUUGACGGGGACCCGCACAAGUAGUGGAGCAUGUGGUUUAAUUCGAAGAUACGCGCAGAACCUUACCAACACUUGACAUGUUCGUCGCGACUCUAAGAGAUUAGAGUUUUCGGUUCGGCCGGACGAAACACAGGUGCUGCAUGGCUGUCGUCAGCUCGUGUCGUGAGAUGUUGGGUUAAGUCCCGCAACGAGCGCAACCCUCACUUUUAGUUGCCAUCAUUAAGUUGGGCACUCUGAAAGAACUGCCAGUGAUAAGCUGGAGGAAGGUGGGGAUGACGUCAAGUCCUCAUGGCCCUUACGUGUUGGGCUACACACGUGCUACAAUGGUAUCUACAACAGGAAGCAAGACUGCGAAGUUAAGCAAAUCCCUAAAAGAUACCUCAGUUCGGAUUGCACUCUGCAACUCGAGUGCAUGAAGCUGGAAUUACUAGUAAUCGUGGAUCAGCGUGCCACGGUGAAUGCGUUCCCGGGUCUUGUACUCACCGCCC